CGGCAGCCCGAGUGGUGAUCACCAUUAUUGGGUCUAAAGGGUCCGUAGCCGGUUUGAUCAGUCUUUUGGGAAAUCUGACAGCUUAACUGUUAGGCUUCCAAAGGAUACUGUCAGACUUGGGACCGGGAGAGGUAAGAGGUACUACAGGGGUAGGAGUGAAAUCUUGUAAUCCCUGUGGGACCACCAGUGGCGAAGGCGUCUUACCAGAACGGGUCCGACGGUGAGGGACGAAAGCUGGGGACACGAACCGGAUUAGAUACCCGAGUAGUCC
rnacentral:rRNA from 1 species